UUCAACUUCAUCUUCAUGUGAGGGAAAAGGAUAAAAGAAUCCAGAAGAUGAAGAGCAUACGUCCACUAUAAAGGCCACAGAGUUAAAUCCAAACACAAAGGACACCAAGUCUACAUCCCCGACCUUGGUACAAAAAUGGCUCAGAUGGGACAGGACAAGAAUCCCAAGGCCCGGUGCUCGACCAUCCAGUCCGACAUCAAGCAGCGAGGGGCCCUCUUCGUUCAUGCACAGUGAAACGCUUCAGAUUCAAUCCUCCACCACUCACCAAAAAGCCUGUCUCAACCUUGCCACAGCUAUCGCAUCCCUAGAUGACAUCAUGCUGACUUCACCGCUGGGGAUAAUACAAGGGUGGAGAGGGUGCUGACAGCAGGACAAAAAGUCUGAGGAGAGUUGAAGGGGGGGAAAAAAGGCUGCUGUCACUGCCGGACUGGAAGUGGAGGAACCUUAUUGGUAGCGUUCAGCUCAGCGGCCGUGGGACGCGAUGGGACAUUAGGGCUGCUCCCAAAUUGGGUCGGUGGUCAUAUGUCUGUCAGGCCGCUUCCUUAUUUAGAAGGAAGGUGUAAAAACAGGCCCACUUGUCACCGGAGAGCAAUGACAGGGCUCUUGUGGUCCCACGUCUUCUGCUGCGUCGUACAAGAACUUUUUUUCCCGGCAAAAAAAAAAUCUGUUCUUUUCCUCCUCUUAACCCUGACGCACCAGCUGGUCCAGUCCAGACCACCAGCAGGGCCUCAAAGAUCAGGGUUCAGGACCAGCAUCUGCCUUUGCUGACGUGUCCUUGGGUCAAAGAUACCAAAUCCC